rnacentral:misc_RNA from 1 species
AACGCACAUUGCGCCCCUUGGUAUUCCGGGGGGCAUGCCCGUUCGAGCGUCAUUACACCACUCAAGCCUGGCUUGGUAUUGGGCGUCCGGCACUCACCUGCCCGCCCCAAAUUCUCUUCGGCUGAUCGGUUUACUUUCUUAGCGUUGGAGUGUUGCCAUUACGUUCCGCUAAUCGAAAGACGCCGGCCGGCCGUUAAACCAUUUAAUCACGGUUGACCUCGGAUCGGGUAGGGAUACCCGCUGAACUUAA